UGCAGUAUGGUGUAUGACUCAUAUUUUAACGCGGUUUCAGAGCUGUCCUUUAAGGCACUUAAACUGCCGCAGUGUGGCUGAUGGUGAUCAUGUUGUUUCCCAUAGGUGGAUCCAAAUCAGAUGAAAAAGUGGACUUGAGCAAGGACAAAAAGUUAGCUCAGUUUAACAAUUGGUUUACCUGGUGUCACAAUUGUCGGCAUGGUGGGCAUGCCGGACAUAUGCUAAGUUGGUUCAGGGACCAUGCAGAGUGUCCUGUAUCUGCAUGCACGUGUAAAUGUAUGCAGUUGGAUACAACAGGAAAUCUGGUGCCAGCAGAGACUCUUCAGCCAUGAAAUGUUACAUCUGAAGAGAAACCUUCAAGUGUGGAGUCUUUAAUAGAUGUCCUUCAUAGUUCAAAAAAAUACCUCAGAACAAGUCACUCAUGAGUUUCCUAUAAUGGGGAAAUAAAUCAUUCUAUCAGUUUAGCAAUUUGAUAUUUUGAGUGAUUUUGACGAACUUCUCAGAGGCAAACGCGCUGCUGAUAUGAACAUCAGAGCAUGAAUAUUGGUGCUGUUCAGUAGGGUAAAGUUUAUUUGAAAGAACUUUCUAGGCUUUUGUCAAAAUUAUGUGUACAGAUGGUUUUAGAAUAAAAACAGACCUUGUGCCUGUAUCUUCACUCUGGAAUUGAUAACUUUUGAUAAAAAUCUGUACAUGUUUAAAGCC
rnacentral:lncRNA from 1 species